ACACGUAGGGGCCUGACGUUGUUCGGAAUCAUUGGGCGUAAAGGGCGCGCAGGCGGCCGUCCAAGUCCGGUGUUAAAUGGUCGGGCUCAACCCGAUCAUGCGCUGGAAACUGGGCGGCUGGAGUCCCGGAGGGGAUGCCGGAAUUCCAGGUGUAGGGGGGAAAUCUGUAGAUAUCUGGAAGAACACCGAUGGCGAAGGCAGGCAUCUGGCCGGAGACUGACGCUGAGGCGCGAAGGCGCGGGGAGCGAACAGGUUUAGAUACCCUGGUAGUCCGCGCAGUAAACGAUGCGCACCAGGUGUCGGGCGGCAGCGCCCGGUACCGGAGCAAACGCGAUGAGUGCGCCGCCUGGGGAGUAUGCCCGCAAGGGUGAAACUCAAAGGAAUUGACGGG
rnacentral:rRNA from 1 species